UGGGGAAUAUUGCACAAUGGGCGCAAGCCUGAUGCAGCCAUGCCGCGUGUAUGAAGAAGGCCUUCGGGUUGUAAAGUACUUUCAGCGAGGAGGAAGGCGUUGUGGUUAAUAACCGCAACGAUUGACGUUACUCGCAGAAGAAGCACCGGCUAACUCCGUGCCAGCAGCCGCGGUAAUACGGAGGGUGCAAGCGUUAAUCGGAAUUACUGGGCGUAAAGCGCACGCAGGCGGUCUGUCAAGUCGGAUGUGAAAUCCUCGGGCUCAACCUGGGAACUGCAUCCGAAACUGGCAGGCUAGAGUCUUGUAGAGGGGGGUAGAAUUCCAGGUGUAGCGGUGAAAUGCGUAGAGAUCUGGAGGAAUACCGGUGGCGAAGGCGGCCCCCUGGACAAAGACUGACGCUCAGGUGCGAAAGCGUGGGGAGCAAACA
rnacentral:rRNA from 1 species